GCUGGGUGUGGAGGUGCACAACUGUAAUCCAAGCAGCUUGGGAGGCUGAUACAGGAGGAUCAUGAGCUCAAAACUAUCCUCAGCAACUUAGUGAGGCCCUAAGCAGCUCAGUGAGACCCUGUCUCUA
rnacentral:sRNA from 1 species